CUGCCCUCAAGCGCGGCUUGUGUGUUGGGCGUGGUCCCCCUACCGUUGGGGGACCUGCCCGAAAGGCAGCGGCGACGUUCCGCCUAGGUUCUCGAGCGUAUGGGGCUUUGUCACCCGCUCGGGACGGACCUGCGGGCGUCGGUCAUCCACAAUUCUUUCCAC
rnacentral:misc_RNA from 1 species